GGCAAGCGUUGUUCGGAAUUACUGGGCUUAAAGGGCGCGUAGGUGUCCCGAUAAGUCAGAUGUGAAAGCUUUCGGCUCAACCGAAAAAUUGCAUCUGAAACUAUCGGGCUUGAGUCUGGGAGAGGAGAGCGGAAUUCCUGGUGUAGCGGUGAAAUGCGUAGAUAUCAGGAGGAACACCAGUGGCGAAGGCGGCUGUCUGGACAGCAACUGACGCUGAGGCGCGAAAGCGUGGGG
rnacentral:rRNA from 1 species